rnacentral:rRNA from 1 species
CAAACGACUCUCGGCAACGGAUAUCUUGGCUCACGCAUCGAUGAAGAACGUAGCAAAAUGCGAUACUUGGUGUGAAUUGCAGAAUCCCGUGAACCAUCGAGUUUUUGAACGCAAGUUGCGUCCGAAGCCUUUUGGCCGAGGGCACGUCUGCCUGGGCGUCACAC